rnacentral:rRNA from 1 species
AUUGAACGCUGGCGGCAGGCCUAACACAUGCAAGUCGAGCGGAUGAAGAGAGCUUGCUCUCUGAUUUAGCGGCGGACGGGUGAGUAAUGCCUAGGAAUCUGCCUGGUAGUGGGGGAUAACGUUCCGAAAGGAACGCUAAUACCGCAUACGUCCUACGGGAGAAAGCAGGGGACCUUCGGGCCUUGCGCUAUCAGAUGAGCCUAGGUCGGAUUAGCUAGUUGGUGAGGUAAUGGCUCACCAAGGCGACGAUCCGUAACUGGUCUGAGAGGAUGAUCAGUCAAACUGGAACUGAGACACGGUCCAGACUCCUACGGGAGGCAGCAGUGGGGAAUAUUGGACAAUGGGCGAAAGCCUGAUCCAGCCAUGCCGCGUGUGUGAAGAAGGUCUUCGGAUUGUAAAGCACUUUAAGUUGGGAGGAAGGGCAUUAACCUAAUACGUUAGUGUUUUGACGUUACCAACAGAAUAAGCACCGGCUAACUUCGUGCCAGCAGCCGCGGUAAUAC